rnacentral:antisense_RNA from 1 species
AAGGGCACGACAUUGCUCACAUUGCUUCCAGUAUUUUUAUUAGCCGGCUCGGGUGCCGGCUAUUUUUU